AAGAAUAAAAGCAGGCUGCCCAAGCUAGCAGUAGCAACCCGUUGGGGUCCCUUUCCACUCUGUGGAAGGUUUGUUCUUUUGCUCUUUGCAAUAAAUCUUGCUGCUCACUGUUUGGGUCCACAUUGCUUUUAUGAGCUGUAACACUCGCCGUGAAGGUCUGCAGCUUCACUCCUGAAGCCAACAAGACCACCAACCCACCAGGAGGAACAAACAACUUCAGACGCGCUGCCUUAAGAGCUGUAACACUCACCGCGAAGGUAUGCAGCUUCACUCCUGAAGCCAGCGAGACCACGAACCCAUCAGGAGGAAGGAACAACUCCAGACGCGCCACCUUAAGAGCUGCAACACUCACCGCGAAGGUCUGCAGCUUCACUCCUGAGCCAGCGAGACCACGAACCCACCAAAAGGAAGAAACUCCGGACACAUCUUAACAUCAGAAGGAACAAACUCCGGACACGCCACCUUUAAGGCCACCUUUAAGAACUGUAACACUCACCGCGAAGGUCCACGGCUUCAUUCUUUAAGUCAGUGAGACCGAGAACCCACCAAUUCCGGACACACAGAUACAGCCAAGCCUCUUUGCUUCUCUGGGCCAGCCUCUCUGGAGCUGAAUCGUGGCUGGCUGGAUUUGAGGAGCCUGCAUGGGCGCACUCUCUCUCUCUGAAUCCCAGCUAGGGCUCUCCUGGCUGUAAUUACUAAGACUCAGCUGCUGGGAAUUUCCACGCCUCCUACCUCUCUACAGGGCAGUCCCUCCAUAUUAGGAAACCCACUGGCGCGCUCCGCCAUAAUCUUCGCAAGACUUCCGUUGUUGCGUCAAGUUGCAGAUUGCCUUUUAACAGAGAAAAAAGUGACAGGAAUGUGCUGGCACUGAUGACACAGUAAUGACCAAGAUAAACAAGGACCUGCUCUAGCCUGACAGGCUGGUCUUCAGUGUUUUGGCCAUCUCCCUACCUGAUCACCCUGAAGCAACACCCACAAGCGGACAAUCUCUGCCCAGUGAUUAAUAUACGUGGAAUCCUCAUCAAAGAGCAGAUUGUGUCAAACCCACAGAGUGUGUGACUCUUGCAUGGCUCAGAACUCAUUAUCUUCCAGCAGCAAGUUGAGAGAUUCUUGGACAGAGAUUUAAACAAACGCUCACGUUGCCGCUUUGACCCAGCUAACCU